rnacentral:rRNA from 1 species
AUUAGCUAGUUGGUGAGGUAAAGGCUCACCAAGGCGACGAUCAGUAGCUGGUCUGAGAGGACGACCAGCCACACUGGAACUGAGACACGGUCCAGACUCCUACGGGAGGCAGCAGUGGGGAAUUUUGGACAAUGGGCGCAAGCCUGAUCCAGCAAUGCCGCGUGAGUGAGGAAGGCCUUCGGGUUGUAAAGCUCUUUUGUCAGGGAAGAAACGGCUGUGGCUAAUAUCCACGGCUAAUGACGGUACCUGAAGAAUAAGCACCGGCUAACUACGUGCCAGCAGCCGCGGUAAUACGUAGGGUGCAAGCGUUAAUCGGAAUUACUGGGCGUAAAGCGUGCGCAGGCGGUUUUGUAAGUCUGACGUGAAAUCCCCGGGCUCAACCUGGGAAUUGCGUUGGAGACUGCAAGGCUAGAAUCUGGCAGAGGGGGGUAGAAUUCCACGUGUAGCAGUGAAAUGCGUAGAGAUGUGGAGGAACACCGAUGGCGAAGGCAGCCCCCUGGGUCAAGAUUGACGCUCAUGCACGAAAGCGUGGGGAGCAAACAGGAUUAGAUACCCUGGUAGUCCACGCCCUAAACGAUGUCUACUAGUUGUCGGGUUUUAAUUAACUUGGUAACGCAGCUAACGCGUGAAGUAGACCGCCUGGGGAGUACGGUCGCAAGAUUAAAACUCAAAGGAAUUGACGGGGACCCGCACAAGCGGUGGAUGAUGUGGAUUAAUUCGAUGCAACGCGAAAAACCUUACCUACCCUUGACAUGUCAGGAAUCCUUGAGAGAUCGAGGAGUGCCCGAAAGGGAGCCUGAACACAGGUGCUGCAUGGCUGUCGUCAGCUCGUGUCAUGAGAUGUUGGGUUAAGUCCCGCAACGAGCGCAACCCUUGUCAUUAGUUGCUACGAAAGGGCACUCUAAUGAGACUGCCGGUGACAAACCGGAGGAAGGUGGGGAUGACGUCAAGUCCUCAUGGCCCUUAUGGGUAGGGCUUCACACGCCAUACAAUGGUACAUA